GACGAACGCUGGCGGCGUGCUUAACACAUGCAAGUCGAACGGUGAAGGGACCAGCUUGCUGGUUCUGGAUGAGUGGCGAACGGGUGAGUAACACGUGCGUAACCUGCCCCCUUCUUCUGGAUAACCGCAUGAAAGUGUGGCUAAUACGGGAUAUUCUGGGUCUGUCGCAUGGCCGGCCCGGGAACGAUCUUGCUUCGGUUGGGGAUGGGCUCGCGGCCUAUCAGCGUGUUGGUGGGGUGAUGGCCUCCCAAGGCGGUGACGGGUGGCCGGCCGGAGAGGGUGGACGGUCAGACCUGGACUGAGACACGGCCCAGUAUCGGACGGGAGGGAGCAGUAGGGAAGAUUACACACUGGGCGCAAGCCUGAUGCAGCGACGCGGGGGGAGGGAUGGAGGGCUUCGGGUUGUAAACCUCUUUCGCCAGAGAAGCAGGCCUGCUCCUUGUGGGUGGGUUGACGGUAGCUGGAUAAGAAGCGCCGGCUAACUACGUG
rnacentral:rRNA from 1 species